GUCGGCGUAGAGCCGCCCGGUAGCUCGCCAGCCUCAUAAGCUGGAGGUUGCAGAUUCGAAUCCUGUCGCCGCAACCA
rnacentral:tRNA from 1 species